GAUGAACGCUGGCGGCGUGCCUAAUACAUGCAAGUCGAGCGAACGGACGAGAAGCUUGCUUCUCUGAUGUUAGCGGCGGACGGGUGAGUAACACGUGGAUAACCUACCUAUAAGACUGGGAUAACUUCGGGAAACCGGAGCUAAUACCGGAUAAUAUUUUGAACCGCAUGGUUCAAAAGUGAAAGACGGUCUUGCUGUCACUUAUAGAUGGAUCCGCGCUGCAUUAGCUAGUUGGUAAGGUAACGGCUUACCAAGGCAACGAUGCAUAGCCGACCUGAGAGGGUGAUCGGCCACACUGGAACAGAGACACGGGACAGACGCCUACGGGAGGCAGCAGUAGGGAAUCUUCCGCAAGGGGCGAAAGCCUGAAGGAGCAACGCCGCGGGAGUGAUGAAGGUCUUCGGAUCGUAAAACUCUGUUAUUAGGGAAGAACAUAUGUGUAAGUAACUGUGCACAUCUUGACGGUACCGAAUCAGAAAGCCACGGCUAACUACGU
rnacentral:rRNA from 1 species